rnacentral:lncRNA from 1 species
CAAGGCAACCUCAGACUCUAAAAAGUGUGUUAGUACAUACGAAGAGAUUUUGCUGAGGGGACAAGUUAUCAAGACUAAAUACUGAUGGAAGCUAUUACUUCUGACAAUCUAAAGCAAACUAGGAGGAACAGAAAUUACCAUGAGUUUGUUGAAUUUUUCUUGUCGCUCGCGAUCACCAAAUAGCGAUGUAUCCCAACGAUGAGUGGACUACAAGACUAAAUACUGAGGGAAACUAUUACUUCUAACAAUCUAAAGCAAAUAAAAGGAACAGAAAUUACCAUGAGUUUGUUGAAUUUUUCUUGUCGCUCGCGAUCACCAAAUAGUGAUGUGUCCCAAUGAUGAGUGGACUACAUAUUCGACCAUCAAUUGAACAUACAAAGACCAAGAGAGUGAAUAACAUUGAGCAUAGGAUAGAGAGAUUUAACAAGCUAGCAAUAAACAUCUAUUGAUGCAGCAGUCAAAAUCAAGUUGCUCUGAUUAAAGCAUGAGCAACCUAAUAAUCAGGCUGAUGUCAGCAAAAGCGAUCAAAUG